ensembl:snRNA U6 U6 spliceosomal RNA
GUGUCUGAGAUAAAAAGACAGACAGUGCUAUGAUACAGAGAAGAUUAGCACAGCCCCUGCACAAGAUGACAGGCAAAAGAGACAGAGAAAUACAUCAUUU